rnacentral:rRNA from 1 species
GGAAGGGRUGUAUUUAUUAGAUAAAAAACCAAUGCCCUUCGGGGCUCCUUGGUGAUUCAUGAUAACUUAACGAAUCGCAUGGCCUUGUGCCGGCGAUGGUUCAUUCAAAUUUCUGCCCUAUCAACUUUCGAUGGUAGGAUAGUGGCCUACCAUGGUUUCAACGGGUAACGGGGAAUUAGGGUUCUAUUCCGGAGAGGGAGCCUGAGAAACGGCUACCACAUCCAAGGAAGGCAGCAGGCGCGCAAAUUACCCAAUCCCGACACGGGGAGGUAGUGACAAUAAAUACUGAUGCAGAGCUCUUUUGGGUUUUGCAAUUGGAAUGAGUACAAUUUAAAUCCCUUAACGAGGAACAAUUGGAGGGCAAGUCUGGUGCCAGCAGCCGCGGUAAUUCCAGCUCCAAUAGCGUAUAUUAAAGUUGUUGYGGUUAAAAAGCUCGUAGUUGAACCUUGGGCCUGGCUGGCCGGUCCGCCUCACCGCGUGUACUGGUCCGGCCGGGCCUUUCCCUCUGUGGAACCCCAUGCCCUUCACUGGGUGUGGCGGGGAACCAGGACUUUUAC